rnacentral:lncRNA from 1 species
CACACACACACACACACACACACCUGGGUGGGUCAUAUACAAAUUAUUGAAAAUAAAGCAUAAAGAAACAAUUCUUGAAGACAGCCAAAGAAAAGAAAAUGAGAACAUAUUACACACUCACAGAGUUGUGGGAUUUUUUUUUUUCCACAACAGACGGCGAUGAAGUGCGACUUUGGAAGAUCUGAGAGGAAAACAUGUCAGUGCGGAAAUAUGUGCUGGUAAAAGCACAGAAGUGUCGAGGUAUCUUCAGGAAAACACUGGAAAGACUUCAUUAGCAGCACACCUGCUCUCUAAGAACUCUGAGAGAUAUUUCAUUAAGGAAGGAAAGCCAGGCAGGAACUGAGAUCUGCACAGAGGAAUCGACUGGUGAUGUAAUAGAAACCAAAGUGUGAAAAUUAUUUCUUCCCAUUUUAAUUGCCGCAAAGAUAAUUGACUGCUUGAAAUAGAAAUUGUGGUAGUGGCCUGUGUGUAUGUGUGUGUUUAUUUGUGUGUGGUUUGUGUGUGUGUGUGUAUGGUGUACGUGUGUAUGUGUAUGAAUGUCUGUGUGUGUGUCUGUGUGGUGUAUGUGUGUGUCUCUCUGUGUGUGUGGCAUGUGUAUGUGUGUGUGGUAUGUGGGUAUGUGUAUGAGUGUCUGUAUGUCUCUGUGUAUGUGAGUGUCUCUCUGUGCGUGUAUGAAUGUCUGUGUGUGUGUCUCUGUGUGUAUGAAUGUCUGUGUGUAUGUGUGUGUGGUAUAUGUGUAUGUGUAUGAGUGUCUGUGUGUGUAUGUUUCUGUGUAUAUGUCUGUCUCUCUGUGUAUGAAUGUCUGUGUGUCUGUGUUUAUUUGUGUGUGUGUGUGUGUGUGUGUGUGUGUGUACACGUCUGAAGAUAACUUGUAGAAGUGAGUCCCAGGGAUUGAUUUCCCACCACUAAGCUUUGCGGCUAGUACUGUUACCCACCCACUGAGCCAGUCCUUUGCCCAAGAAAUGGAACAGCUUUAAAGACUUCAGGAUCCCCUGCCAUACCCAACCCUUCAUAAUAACACAGUCUUGUCUCCGAAAGCUGUGGGCUUCUGCUAAAGUGAAAAUGGCCCUGUGGAAGCUGCAUUCUCGAGUCAUUUCUAUAUGAAAUUGAGUGGGUCUGUGCAAGCAUUUUUCUAUUUUAGAAGUUAAUUGUGUGAGAGCAUGAAUGUGUGUGUGUGUGAGUGUGUGUGAGUGUGUGUAUGCAGGCGUGUAAUUAUGGCUGUGUGCCUGUGAAGGCCAGAGGACAGUAUGGGUAUCUUCUAUUGUUGAGGCCGGAUCUUUCGCUGAAUCUGAGGCUCACAGUUUUGCCUUGCUUGGCUAGUUUGCAAAACCCAGGAUCUGCCUGUCUCUGCAUCCUGUCCCUGCUUCAUCAGUCCUGCAGUGGUACAUGGUCCUGCCUGGCUUUCCUGUGAGUUCCGAGGAUCCAAACUCAGGUCUUUACACUUACACAGCAAACACUUUACCAGAGAGCAAUCUCCCCAGCUUCUAUUCAAACCUUUUCUGGGAAUGACCUUAAGUGGGAAAAAGAACAAUUACAUCACUGGGUGAUUGAAACCGCUGGGGAGGCUCGGGGAAGGUUGAGCGGAACCUAAGUCACCGGGAGGGAUAAGGAGGGAUUCGGGCUGAGCAGAGCCAAGCCAUCUUGGUACUCAAUUCCUUUGAUGGACUCUCUGGAUAUUGGAUCUACAGCUAACGUCAGCAGAAUGCAAAGUGAUCAAAUGCCAUCGUCUUAAUAUUCCAGCGAUCUGAAGUGGGGGUGGUGUGACAUUCCUCUCUGUGUCCUGUGCCUCUGAUGUCUUGCAAGCCCCUCCAGUCUCAAGAGUGAGAAACCUCACCUCAAAGGAUGCUG